rnacentral:lncRNA from 1 species
GUCCUUUUUGCAAAAUGUUGAUGAUUUGUUGUUAUGUAGCCCUAGCUAUGAGGCAAGCACUGUGGAUACUGUCAGCAACUGUGGGUCACAAGGUUGUUAAACACAAAAUGCAAUUGUGUAAAUCAAAGGUUGAAUACUUAGGUUUUGUUCUGGCUUUAGGCACCAGACAAUUGAGUCCAAAAUGUAUUGAGGUCAUUCAGAGGAUUCCAACACCCACUACUCGGAAGGAGUUGCUCACCUUCCUCGGCAUGAUUAAUUACUGCCGCCAAUGGAUCCCUGAAUGCUCCCAUUAUGACUCAAUCCUAAGGGAGGCUGUACGUUCUGACAGCCCUGAAAAUGUCUGCUGGUCACCAGACAUGCUAUCUGCAUAUAUUGCCCUUACAGUUGUUAUUGUGCAAGCCCAGGCUUUAGGACUACCUGUGUAUUGUAAACCAUUUCAUUUGUAUGCUUGGGACAAUUGUAAAACCAUGGCCGCGGUCUGUGCACAAGAGCAAGGAGGCGGUAUGCGUCCCAUAGCAUUCUUUUCCAAAGUAGUUCGAGCUCCGGUACAGGGUAUGCCGGCGUGUCUCAGAGCAUUGAUAGCAUGUGCAAUGGCUGUUGAAACUGCUACUACUAUCACACUAGGGCAUCCUACAAUACUUCAUGCCAGUCACCAGGUCACUCAGCUGAUGACAAAUCUCACCACACAACACAUGACAGCCCAGCGCUUCAGUGGUUAUGAGAUUUUUUUUUUUUUUUUUUUAAAUACCCAGAAUCUGUCUUUUGGAUUAAACAAGGUUUAGAGAAAGAUCAAAAUGAUCUGUUCUCUAAAGAGGGGAGAAUAGGCAUACUUGAAGAAUAGGCAUACUUGAAGCAAGCUGAUUUAUUUUCAUCAGUCAGGCACAUAGCAAGCACCAUUCAAUUCUUCAUGAAUUCAUUUUAUAUUAGGAAUCUUAGGCAGCAUGUACAGUCUUUUGUAAGAUCAUGUGAACCAUGUAUGAGAACACAUCCAAAUAUUCCACACAAAUCACAGCAUGAACAUUUGCCCCCUCCAGCUGCUCCUUUUACACACUUACAGAUUGAUUUUACUCAUGUACCCAAAAUUGGUAAGAAACAGCAAUACUUACUGGUCAUAGUUGAUCAGUUUAGUAGAUGGCCCGAAGCCUUUGUGACAUCCAGGGAAGAUGCUAGGACUGUAGUGAAGAUUCUUGCUACUGAAAUUAUUCCCAGGUAUGGCUGCCCUCUGCAGAUUGGCUCUGAUAAUGGCCCGGUUUUUGCCAGUAAGGUUGCCCAGGAACUUGCUAAAUUCUUGCAAGUUACCUGGCAGUUUCAUAUACCCUAUCAUCCACAGAAUACAGGGGUAGUUGAAAGGAUGAAUAGGACUAUUAAGGAAAAGCCCAGAAUUUACCCAGGAACAUGGGUAAAUUGGACUAGAUAUCUACCAGCUAUUUUAGCUGAGAUAAGAGUGAUUCCUCACAAGGUGACUAAAUUAUCUCCAUUUGAGAUUUUGAUGGGAUGACCUUUUCCCACACCCUGGGCCAGGGAACCGCUUGUUAUAAUGUCUGUGGAUUUACAGCUAAUACAAGAACAAUAUGUACAGGAGUUGUUGAUAAAACCGAAUGGUAUGUAUGACAAUGUUUCUUCGCAGUUUUCCCUUACCUUCACAGGAACCUACUCAUUCAUACCAGCCCGGUGACAAGGUGUAUAUCCGUCAGCUGAACAGGACCAAGAAAGGAGGAUACCCUUUUGGACCACCUGCUACUGUGAUUGCUGUAACCAGAACCGCUGUCCACAGAUUCCCAUGACAUCUGGAUUCACGCAUCCCGAGUGAAGCUGUGUCCAAAGAGGGGAACCAAGGAAGACAACACCACUCCUCGCUCGGAAACAGAAGAAUUUCUCCUCAGCGAAGCAUCAUGGCUUUUACACCAUAUCGUAGAUUGAGAGGAUCAUACGUACCUGAGACCAAGAUUAUGUUGUGCGCUAUGCUUUCUGGAGUUGUUAUACUCCCUCUGAUAUUGUUCCUUGAAUGCCAUUAUGAGUACAAGUCAAUGGCAAGUUCUGGAAAAAGACUCUGACAUGAUGAACAAUUCUUCAAUACCCCCAGCCCAAUUAGGCCUUAGCCCCUCAUCUAGCAUUCGUCACACACGCCCCCUCAAGAACCUUUUUCCACCACCUUUCUAUCAGCAUGCAAUAUGCAAUCAUUCAUUCACUGAACGCAUUUGGAUGAAUUGGACAAAUAGUAACCCUUAUAAGUACCAGUUACCCAUAUGAAAUGUGUCUACAGCUAAUGAAACCGAUGCAUUAUGUUUGUUUAAAGGUUCACAGAAAAUUGUUAGAUCUUAUAACGCAGAAAUGUGCACAGUUAAGGUUGCAUAUCAAUGUAAACAGACAGGUCUUAUUACUUUUAAUAAUGAUUAUAUAACUGGUAUCAUUAAUUGGAGAAGGGGACAAAUGUUAGUCAUUAUGAACAACACUACAAUUGAGAACUAUACACUACCUUAUAUUUUUACACCUUAUUACUGUCCUUCAUCCACUAUCAUAGAACCAAAAGUCAAACACGACACACACACACCUAUUCCGUCCACAUGUGUUAAUACAACUGCCUUCUUACAAGCUGUACAUGUGUCAUUAAAAGUCACUACUCUUGUUGUAACAUUAUGUAAUACAGCAAACAAAGGCAGAAAAGGGAAUGGUAUGACACACUGUUAGAUGGUGCUGGAACCACUAUGGGUAUACUAAAUAGUUAUAGAUAUGGAGACCCUCAAGAAUAAGUUAAACACAGCCAGCAUGCAUAUAGGGACUGGUUUUCAUGCUACUGCAAAUUGGGCUCCAAUUGUUGUUAAAUCACAGGUUACAGGAUUGGAUUUAGAUAAAUCAAUGUAUAAUUAUUUAGAUAAUUUAACUGUUGCAACUAUGAAAUUCACUACAGGUCUAGGUAACUGGAGUAUUUGUGCCAUCAGGUAUUUAUGGAUACAACAACAAGGAUUGGCAUUAGAAAACACACUAAUGAUUCCUAAACUAGAGAAGAUUAGAGGAAUGUGUAACCUCACAGAUAAUGAUUGGUUACUUCUAAAACCCCAAUCCAGUAAAUGCAAUGGAUGGUUAACUGGUAAUGUUUCACAUUUUUCAUGCUCAUGCUAUUUAACAUUAUAUCAUACAUUAUCAAAGGAUGUUAAAUUAGCUUGUCAAUUUAACACAUUACCAGUACCAGUUUAUGAUCUUUUUGCCAAGAAUUUAACCUGGUGGGCACCCACAUACACAGGGGACUAUAUUUUUCCCAAAGAUAACAUACACAGGUAGCCACACAUAUCCUAAAAGGAGAACUCCUUAAGGUGAGUUCACAAAUUCAGAAUGAUUUAGCCCAUCAUUGGUACGAUGCUUCACUGGUUGGUCCCCUACUGGAUCUCAGAUAAUGAAAUCAUUCUUCUAUCAUUUUGUUAUUAUAGUCCUGAUUUUAUUGUGUAUGAUUUUAUAUAACUGUCACCUUACUUGUACAUUGAGGAAGUGAGUACAGAAAUGAAUCCAUAAUGCAGAACAGAAACAAUUAGAAAUUCUCCUCUCUGCCACUGUAGAGUAUCAACCCAUCUUUAAACUGGGCCUUAGGAAUUACCACAUGGGAAUCGAGGUGAAGAAAUUAAUGAAAGUCCCGCAGGGAGUGACUAGCACCCCUGAAAAUACCAUGUGGAAGUUUCUCUGUCCUGGUAAGAUUUUAUCGAUAAGAUGAGCAAUUGUUUUAUUGCUCAAAGAGGGGAAUGUAAGAAUAUUAAAUAGUUAACUUGUUUAUAUGUAUUUUAUGCUUUUAUAAGGUUUAUAACAUGAUUAUUGCUGACUGAAGGGAUAUUGAAUACUUAAAGUCAAUAUGCUGACUGUGACAGACUAAGGUAUUUCUUCUAUAGGAUGUAAGACAAUGCUAAAUUUCAGGAUGUCUUGCCCAUUCCGAUUUUAAGGAUAUUCUUUUCCAGACGUAUGCAAAAGCUUAUCUUUCCAUUGUCAGAAUAACGUAAUAUAAGGAAGUAAUAAAUCUUAUAGUCUGUACUGUAUUUGCAUAUACCAUGGCUAAUGUAAGCAAACUAUGUAUAAAAGCCAGCUCUGGAAUACACUCAUUUGAGAGUCUUGUAAA